UCAAGUGCGGAAGCUGAAUAUAGAGCUAUGCUGAAGCUUACAAAUGAGUUGGUGUGGAUCAAAAAAAUACUAAAACAUCUAGGCGUGGAGCAGUCUACACCAAUGACUAUGCAUUGUGACAAUCAAGCAGCAAUUCACAUUGCCUCCAACUCUGUUUUUCAUGAGAGAACCAAGCACAUAGAAGUUGAUUGUCACAAAGUGAGGCAGAUGAUGGUUCUUGGAGUGAUCUUGCCUUGUUAUACCAGAAGUGAAGAUCAGUUAGUUUUGAUUAGAAUGACAAAGAAGUUGUCAUAUUCCCAAACAGGAAAACUGGGAUCACCUGAUUUGAAAGUGGGAUAGCUUCUUCAUCCUAACUCCUAUGAGAUUUAUUCCACUUCCUAAUGAUUCUCCACUACUUUAUGUAUCAAAAUCAAGCUUCUUACAUCGCGAUUCUUCCUGGUUUGAUUAGAAUGACAAAGAAGUUGUCAUAUUCCCAAACAGGGAAACUGGGAUCACCUUAUUUGAAAUUGGGAUAGCUUCUUCAUCCUAACUCCUAUGAUAUUUAUUCAACUUCCUAGUGAUUCUCCAGUAAUUUAUGUAUCAAAAUCAAACUUCUUACAUCGCGAUUCAUCAUGGUUUGAUUAGAAUAACAAAGAAGUUGUCAUAUCCCCAAACAGGAAAACGGGGAUCACCUGAUUUGAAAGUGGGAUAGCUUCUUCAUCCUAACUCCUCUGAGAUUUAUUCCACUUCCUAAGAUUCUCCACCACUUUUUGUAUCAAAAUCAAGCUUUUUACACCCCAAUUCUUCCUGGUUUGAUUAGAAUGACAAAGAAGUUGUCAUAUUCCCAAAUAGGAAAACUGGGAUCACCUUAUUUGAAAGUGGGAUAGCUUCUUCAUCCUAACUCCUAUGAGAUAUAAUAAACUUCUUGGUGAUUAUCCACUACUUUAUGUAUCAAAAUCAAGCUUCUUACAUCACGAUUCAUCCUGGUU
rnacentral:lncRNA from 1 species